AAGGCUUCAUUAAAAUGUCAUUAUAAUCUUUCAACGUUGCACUAUAUAAAUGUGUUAAUCUAUUGUUAGUGAAGCCAAAAUUGAUGUUUCCCUAGCUAUCCAAUGCUUCUUUUUUGUUUCAUUCGGACAUCGGAAAACUGCAUUC